UAAGCGCUGCCUGCGAGACGGUUUGUCAUAUGGGAGAACUUGGAGUGUUUUUUUUAAUCUUUUCAUCACCUUGUGGUUUUGCUAUAAGGUUAGUGCUUUGCUGCAACUUCAUGCUGUCUGUGUAUAGUUUUUCACGUCACAUUUUUCAUGAUUUGAUGUUUGCGUCGCUAGUAUUGACUUGUCAUUUAUUGCAGAUUAACGUUUUCUGCUCAGUGUCUGACUUUUUAAACCAAACCAUGGAAUUACGUUUCCCUCUUUUCGGCAGCGACCUCUCUUCGGGCCCUGUUUCUGCUUUGUUCUCUGCUUAGGUCUCCAUAUCCGCCAUUUUGUUUACAUCCCUGUCCCUUCCUCGAAUAUCUUGAGUAAACGAGUAUUUACGAUUGAUGUAAAUGCUACUGCAAAGCAGUGGUGUUGCUUCAGUUACAUUAACAUUCAUUGUUCCUAAAAUGUUAGUGUGGCAAACUUGUUGAUUUUCAGCCACAACUGUGUCUACAUUUUGCAGCUUGUUGUGUCUGUCCCUGAUGGGACAGGGUUUGAUUUAUUUAUUUGUUUAAUUUCCCCCCCUGUCAGUGACUGGUCAGCUUCUGUCCCUCGAGCUCUUUCAGCUGUAAUGAUAUGCCACGCGUCUCCGCUUGGCUGCACACGGAGCUAAACUGGGAUGAGACGGAGUUGAAAGGACGUAAUUGUACAUCGGUCGGCGGCUGGUUUUCUGCUGCUUUCUAAUCGAGAGAUGAACUUGAGGGACGACGACAAAUGUGAGCCUGAUGAGGCGUCUGACGUCAGGCCAAAGUCCAGAACCUAAUAUGAAGCACGGGCGUGUUCAAAUAACCCAAUUACAGGCCUGGAAAUACAAAAAUUCCACAGCAUAUGUGAAGCAGCAAAGGGUUUACAACAUUUUCUAUUAUGAAUGAUGAUUUUUUUUUUUUGGUUUCUAUAUGUGAUUUACAGAUUGUACUGUGGCUCAGUCUGGGUUUUAUAUUUAAUACAGAGCGCUGAUUCAUCACAGCAUUCAUGUGCAGACUUGCCUUUCAAACAAUUCUGGCAAUUCUUUUCCCAUUAGCUUCUUAUUGGGCAGUUAUGAUUGAGCCCAAUGGAGUCUGCCUAGCAACAGGUUUCCCUUUAUCAGAUUGAUGCACACCCAACCAAUGUGCAAAUGGCACCUGACCAAGCGGGUCCAGGAAAAUCUUAAACAGACAGAUAGCAAGCGCCACAUCGUGCGUGCCGCGACAAAAGAAAACGGGAAGUUUGUCUGCCUGUGAAGUUGACAGGCCAGAAAUGCCAAGAGGAAAUGGGAAGGUCUUAUUUUUUGCGAUUUCAUGCUUGUGUGUGUUGUUCAUAAUGAAGGAAAAGGCCUCAUUAAUGGACCCCUCCUACUAAACGUGUUCAAAGCCUCUUGUUUUUUUAUUUAGUACUUUUUCGUUUUCCUGCUCGGCUCGGUUUCGCUUGAUCACUCUUGUCAGCGCCGUUUUUUUCUUCCCCCUCUACUGCUGCAAUCAAGAUGGCUUCCCCUGUUUGCUUUGAUGGAGGCCGCACCAAACGUUUUCAGACUCAUUUGAGGAGUAUACAUCUUCAGUCUCCUAUUUUUGUUUUGUGUUACAAAUGACCUUCAAACUCUCAGGACCCAUUUCUCUAUCAAAGAGAGACGACAUAUUGAUUUUGAUAUAGAAGGGAACGAGAAAAUGGGAUUCUGUGAAAAAAUGUUGACAUUUUAUAUUAAGGCUGUACUGCCCAACUGUACUUUAGGGAUUGUUUCUAUAAGAUCCUUAAGGAACGGCUUAUGUGUAAUAUAAACGAUCUGCUGCUGAGAAAAGUUAAAGAACAAGAGCUUUCCCAUAUGCAUGCAGGUGUCAUCAUCAUCAUCUCUUCAUCGCUCAUCUGCUGUAGCUCGUACCCGUGGCUUCGCUACCCUGCGCUGACCGAGGGCCCUGCUCUCCGCUGCUUCCUGUCUCACAAAAGACCCCUCUGUUUCACCCCCUUACGUUUCCUCCACUGGCACCCCCACCCCCUCCCUCAACACCCCUGUGGUACAUUCCCUCUCGCUCCACUGGUGCAUUCCUCCCAGGCCGUUGCCGGCCGGUGAGUCCUUCUGUCAGCCGCGCUCGCACACUGGAACUUCUUUACAGGGUUCCCGCUUGUCAAAAGUCCCCCGUCUUUGUUUUGGUGCUGCACGCUCCGAGGGGUGCUCCUUUUUGUGAGUGAUUCCAGAGUCCAGAAACUUUCCCCAAAAAAGGAUGAGACAUCCUGGUUCAGUGUACAUUUGAGGUACAUCAUGAACCUGUUUCCUUUAGAGUGACGAAUGUUCCCCCCGGGGCCCGGUAUAAGAAAUUAGCCCCAGAUACCAGUUUCACCAAUUCGCACAUAAAUCAGUAGACGUAUUUAUCAUAACACGAGGUCUUAAAAAAAAAAAAAAUCCCACUGCUGGAUGUUUGAAGUUUGCUGAAGAGCACUUAGAUGUUCCAGAGCACUACUGGCAAAAUAUUAUGUGGAUAGAUGGCACCAAAGUUGAAUUGUGUGGGAGGAGCACACAAUGCCAUGAGUGGAGGAAAAAUGGCACCGCUCACCAACAUCAAAAGCUUAGCCCAACUGUGAAGCAUGGUCGAGGGAGUAUCAUGGUUUGGGUGUGCUUUGUCAACUCAGGGCCUGGACAGCCCACUGUCAUCGCUGUUAAAAUUAAAUCACAAGUUUAUCAUGAUAUUUUGCAGAAGAACUUGAGGCCAUCUGUCCAACAGUUGAAGCUCAAAAGAGGAUGGGUGAUGAAACAGGGGAAUGAUCCAAUACACAUCAACAACAGAAUGGCUUCAGAAGAGGAAAAUAUGUGUUCUGGAGUGGCUCAGUCAAAGUCCUGAUCUCAACCCAAUUGAGAUGCUGUGGCAUGACCUCGAGAGCUAUUCAUGCAGAAAUUAAAGAAAUUCCAAAGGGUUUGCAUACUUUUUCCUCCCACUGUAUUUCUUUUGCUCUGUGCUCCUAUUGUGCUGUGACUGGUCACAAAGAACCUCGGGUCAUCUCCUGCCCAGAGGAGCUCAGUUCAGCGACUGGUGUGAAGUGGACCUUGGCGCACCCGGAGCAGCCACACCAAUGCCGAAAUGACCCACGUGACCCUUCCCCUCACCUUCAACGUCCAGCCGACUGCUCUGGGUCACAGUUUGGCUUUCGUUCCAGAAUUAUUCCAAUGCUUCACAUUGCUGCCGCUUCAGACUGAAAUGUACUUACGGUUGUGUGCCAUAGAAGUCACGUCUGCCGGCGUGAAUGUCGCCAAGUGGGCAGUCAGUAGUGUGCUCCGUCCGCCUUCAUCAAUGGAUCCCAUUCAUCCCCCCCCUCACCCUCUUCAUGCCUCUGUGCCCCCCCCCCAUUGCCAGCACACCCUCCUCUUCCUCUUCCUCCUCCUGGGCCCGUACCUUUUCACGGAU